AACUAAUGUAGAUAUCGACGUAAAUGUAUUAAAACUCAUGGACCAUUCAACAUAAAGAUUAACCCUACGAUUUGUUUCUUUCUCUCUCGAUAAGGCACCAUUCUGCAGGGGUAGAAGAUCCUUGUCGACAAUUUAACGCCUGAUGUUUAUCAGUGGGUAAAUUCACAACAAAUGUUCCCAUGCAUUAAUUAUCAAUGAGGGACGGUGCGUGUUAAUUAAAAUCUCUACAUUAAGGUUCCAUUUUUAUAUUAACUGAUAUGCCUAUUAUGUGGCCCUGUCCCGGAAGUCCAAAGUGCAGAAAAAUAUACCUUUAUGGCCAAGGACUGAGAGCACACAUUGCUUCCUGUAAGCAUGCGCAGUCCAAACGAGUUCGUGGAAGGCGGGAAGCUGUGGAGACAAUGUUUAGCAUCGUGUGUUUCACAGAGAGCAGAUCCCUCGGAAAUAUUACCCUGGCUAGGAGAAAAGUUCCCGACUUUAAACAAGAGCCGGCCACGCUGGUUAGAGUUUAACAUCACAUUGUACUCAGUUUAACCUAGUCACGCAUAGAAAGCAGUCGGAUAUAAACAAAUAAUGCGAUAUAUUCCCUUUGGAUGUUUAAAAAUGUGGAAACAACGCACCCCAUGGACUGUGUUUAGUAGCUUGGAUUUUAUACAGAUGCCAUGUACAGAAGGAAAGCGGUCAUACUUUACUAAUAUCCUUCUAUUCCAUAACGUCUAAGGCCAAAGAUAACCACUGGAAUGAAUAUCAUGUACGAUGGUUAUUGUGAAUGAACGUUUUUUUUUUUUGUUAUCAAUGUGUCUCGCUAUGAAAAUAAAAUAAGUAUUAAGUCACAUUUAUAUACAUGUAAAUAUUUCUUGGUCCAAAACUUAUAGUCGCAUCUAUAUAAAUAUUUCUUGGUUUUAGACGUAUCUGGUUAACCUUUGGUGCAGACAUUGUUAAACCCAGUCAAUGUGUCAUGGUGCCAUUUGAAUAAUGUCAAACAGUGAAAAGAUGUAUUUCUACCCCGAAUCAAAGUCAUUUCACUAAUGUCAAGGUUUUAAUAAUUUCCUAAAGGUAUAAACUGCAACGCUUCACAGUGGUAUAAGCUCCAUGAAGUACGCUGGUGUGAAGCGUCACAGUUCAUACCCUCAUGUAUUUUCAAAACUUAAAAAUGUAGGUCAUAUUUUGUAGCACUUCACACAGAGCUGGUGAUGUCCUUAGAUCAAUGAAAAGUUUUAGAUACGGACAUGAACCCGCAUACAAACAAACAUUUAGAUGACCGUUAAUGUGAUGGAUUGGUUUCUUUAGCUGUUGCAUGUUUUAAUAAAAUAACAAUUUAAUUCUUA